AUAGCGUAUAUUAAAGUUGUUGCAGUUAAAAAGCUCGUAGUUGAACUUUAGGCAAGGCGGUCGGGUCUCCCAAUGGGUGUACUUGGCUCGCCGCGCCUCACCUUCGGGGAACUAGUCGUGCUUCGGUGCGCUAGGGAACCGAGCCUUACUUUGAAGAAAUUAGAGUGUUUAAAGCAGGCUUACGCUUGAAUACAUCAGCAUGGAAUAACAUGAUAGGACUUUGGUUCUAUUUUGUUGGUUUGAGGACCAAAGUAAUGAUUAAUAGGGCCAGUCGGGGGCAUUAGUAUUCUAUAGUCAGAGGUGAAAUUCUUGGAUUGACUCAAGACCAACUAUUG
rnacentral:rRNA from 1 species